rnacentral:rRNA from 1 species
UACGAAGGGUGCAAGCGUUAAUCGGAAUUACUGGGCGUAAAGGGUGCGUAGGCGGCGCGGUAAGUCGGGUGUGAAAUCUCGGAGCUUAAACUCCGAAACUGCAUUCGAUACUGCCGUGCUUGAGGACUGGAGAGGAGACUGGAAUUUACGGUGUAGCGGUGAAAUGCGUAGAUAUCGUAAGGAAGACCAGUGGCGAAGGCGGGUCUCUGGGCCGAUACUGACGCUGAGGAGCGAAAGCGUGGGGAGCGAACAGG